GACGAACGCUGGCGGCGUGCCUAAUACAUGCAAGUUGAGCGAUGAAGAUUGGUGCUUGCACCAAUUUGAAGAGCAGCGAACGGGUGAGUAACGCGUGGGGAAUCUGCCUUUGAGCGGGGGACAACAUUUGGAAACGAAUGCUAAUACCGCAUAAUAACUUUAAACAUAAGUUUUAAGUUUGAAAGAUGCAAUAGCAUCACUCAAAGAUGAUCCCGCGUUGUAUUAGCUAGUUGGUGAGGUAAAGGCUCACCAAGGCGAUGAUACAUAGCCGACCUGAGAGGGUGAUCGGCCACAUUGGGACUGAGACACGGCCCAAACUCCUACGGGAGGCAGCAGUAGGGAAUCUUCGGCAAUGGACGAAAGUCUGACCGAGCAACGCCGCGUGAGUGAAGAAGGUUUUCGGAUCGUAAAACUCUGUUGGUAGAGAAGAACGUUGGUGAGAGUGGAAAGCUCAUCAAGUGACGGUAACUACCCAGAAAGGGACGGCUAACUACGUG
rnacentral:rRNA from 1 species